rnacentral:rRNA from 1 species
AGAGUUUGAUCCUGGCUCAGAACGAACGCUGGCGGCGCGCCUAACACAUGCAAGUCGAGCGUGAAAGUGUAGCAAUACAUGAGUAAAGCGGCGCACGGGUGAGUAACGCGUAGGUGAUCUACCUUUGUGACCGGAAUAACCAGCCGAAAGGUUGGCUAAUACUGGAUAGAGCGCACGAGCUGUAGAGGUUUGUGCGGGAA